GAUGAACGCUAGCGGCAGGCCUAAUACAUGCAAGACGAACGGCAAGAAUUGUAGCAAUAUGAUUCCUAGAGUGUCGUAAGGGUGCGUAACACGUAUGCAAUCUACCCGAAACUGGAGCAUAGCUCCCCGAAAGGGGGAAUUAACACUCCAUAAGAUCAUAGAAUGGCAUCAUUUAGUGAUUAAAACUGAGGUGGUUUCGGAUGAGCAUGCGUUUGAUUAGUUAGUUGGUGAGGUAACGGCUCACCAAGACGAUGAUCAAUAGGGGAACUGAGAGGUUGAUCCCCCACACUGGCACUGAGAUACGGGCCAGACUCCUACGGGAGGCAGCAGUAGGGAAUAUUGGACAAUGGGUGAGAGCCUGAUCCAGCCAUGCCGCGUGCAGGAA
rnacentral:rRNA from 1 species